rnacentral:rRNA from 1 species
GACGAACGCUGGCGGCGCCCUUUACAGAUGCAAGUCUAAUUAAGAGGGAUGGAAGCUUGCUUCUAUCAAUCUUAGUGGCGAACGGGUGAGUAACGCGUAAUCAACCUGCCCUUCAGAGGGGGACAACAGUUGGAAACGACUGCUAAUACCGCAUACGAUCUAAACUCGGCAUCGAGGAUAGAUGAAAGGUGGCCUCUACAUGCAAGCUAUCACUGAAGGAGGGGAUUGCGGCUGAUUAUCUAGUUGGAGGGGAAACGGCCCACCAAGGAGAUGAUCAGUAGGCGGUCUGAGAGGAUGAACGGCCUCAUUGGGACUGAGACACGGCCCAUGACUCCUACGGGAGGCAGCACUGGGGAAUCAUCCACAAUGGACGAAAGUAUGACGGAGCAACUGCACUUGAGUUAUGAUUGGCCUGCAGGUUGUAGAGCUUCUGCUAACUAUGAUUAAAGGUCUUCUUGUUUCAAUAACGAAGAAGGAUUGACAGUACCGGACCAUAGCGCCACGGCUAACUACGUGCCAGCAGCCGCGGUAAUACGUAGGUGCAAAGCGUUGUCCGGAAUUAUUGGGCGUAAAGCGCGCGCAGGCGGAUAGGUCAGUCUGCCUUAAAGUUCGGGGCUUAACCCCGUGAUGGGAUGGAAACUGCCAAUCUAGAGUAUCGGAGAGGAAAGUGGAAUUCCUAGUGUAGCGGUGAAAUGCGUAGAUAUUAGGAAGAACACCAGUGGCGAAGGCGACUUUCUGGACGAAAACUGACGCUGAGGCGCGAAAGCCAGGGGAGCGAACGGGAUUAGAUACCCCGGUAGUCCUGGCCGUAAACGAUGGGUACUAGGUGUAGGAGGUAUCGACCCCUUCUGUGCCGGAGUUAACGCAAUAAGUACCCCGCCUGGGGAGUACGACCGCAAGGUUGAAACUCAAAGGAAUUGACGGGGGCCCGCACAAGCGGUGGAGUAUGUGGUUUAAUUCGACGCAACGCGAAGAACCUUACCAGGUCUUGACAUUGAUGGACAGAACUAGAGAUAGUUCCUCUUCUUCGGAAGCCAGAAAACAGGUGGUGCACGGUUGUCGUCAGCUCGUGUCGUGAGAUGUUGGGUUAAGUCCCGCAACGAGCGCAACCCCUAUCUUAUGUUGCCAGCACGUAAUGGUGGGAACUCAUGAGAGACUGCCGCAGACAAUGCGGAGGAAGGCGGGGAUGACGUCAAAUCAUCAUGCCCCUUAUGACCUGGGCUACACACGUACUACAAUGGGAGUUAAUAGACGGAAGCGAGAUCGCGAGAUGGAGCAAACCCGAGAAACACUCUCUCAGUUCGGAUCGUAGGCUGCAACUCGCCCACGUGAAGUCGGAAUCGCUAGUAAUCGCAGGUCAGCAUACUGCGGUGAAUACGUUCCCGGGCCU